rnacentral:rRNA from 1 species
AACGAACGCUGGCGGCAUGCCUAACACAUGCAAGUCGAACGAGACCUUCGGGUCUAUUGGCGCACGGGUGCGUAACGCGUGGGAACCUGCCCUUAGGUUCGGCCUAACUCCCCGACAGGGGUGCUAAUACCGGAUAAUGUCUUCUGACCAAAGAUUUAUCGCCUUUGGAUGGGCGCGCGUUGGAUUAGCUAGUUGGUAGGGUAAAAGCCUACCAAGGCGACGAUCCAUAGCUGGUCUGAGAGGAUGAUCAGCCACACUGGGACUGAGACACGGCCCAGACUCCUACGGGAGGCAGGAGUGGGGAAUAGUGGACAAUGGGGGAAAGGAUGAUCCAGCAAUGCCGGGUGAGUGAUGAAGGCAUUAGGGUUGUAAAGCGCUUUUAACCGGGAUGAUAAUGACAGUACCGGGAGAAUAAGCUCCGGCUAACUCCGUG